CACGUAGGGGGCGAGCGUUGUCCGGAUUCAUUGGGCGUAAAGCGCGCGCAGGCGGCUCGGCAAGUCGGGUGUGAAAACUCGGGGCUCAACCCCGGGCGUGCAUCCGAUACUGCCGGGCUUGAGGCAGGUAGGGGAGAUCGGAAUUCCUGGUGUAGCGGUGAAAUGCGCAGAUAUCAGGAGGAACACCGGUGGCGAAGGCGGAUCUCUGGGCCUGUCCUGACGCUGAGGCGCGAAAGCUAGGGGAGCGAACAGG
rnacentral:rRNA from 1 species